rnacentral:tRNA from 1 species
CAUUAAAUAGCUGAAAGCAAGCACUGGUCUCUUAAACCAAUCUAUAGUAAAUUAGCGAUUACUUUUAAUG